rnacentral:tmRNA from 1 species
GGGGAUGAAAGGCUUCGACGGAAGAGGCUGACCCCGGACUGCGAGCCGAGAGGCGCUGAAUCUCGUAAAAUCAGCGCAAACUUUAAGUGCCAACCGCACUGAAUACGCUGCUAUGCCUCUCGCUGCAUAAGCAUGAGGAAAGCAGACGGUUACUGUAGAAAGUAACCUCGUCCACCUGCUCCUAACUCCUGCUGGAGUGGACUGGACGUCGGAAAGCGGGAGUGCACCCCGGUGACGCCGCUACCCGGGCUUAAGAGGGACCUUUGGCUCCCAGCGGCUAGUCAGUUGAAGCUUUCGUUCGGUGUAGCUCAGCUGAUAAUCACAAACGCCAAACUACGCUCGUAGACGUCCGAGCGGUCGAGACUUUCGGACGCGGGUUCGAUUCCCGCCAUCUCCACCU